rnacentral:rRNA from 1 species
GACGAACGCUGGCGGUGCGCCUAAUACAUGCAAGUCGAACGGUGAACGGGGCUUCGGCCCCCGGAUCAGUGGCGAACGGGUGCGUAACACGUGGGCAACCUGCCCCUCACUCUGGGAUAACCCCGGGAAACCGGAGCUAAUACCGGAUACUCCGGCCGGACCGCAUGGUCCAGCCGGGAAAGGUCCGCCGGUGAGGGAUGGGCCCGCGGCCUAUCAGCUCGUUGGUGGGGUAACGGCCUACCAAGGCUUCGACGGGUAGCUGGUCUGAGAGGACGGCCAGCCACACUGGGACUGAGACACGGUCCAGACUCCUACGGGAGGCAGCAGUGGGGAAUAUUGCACAAUGGGGGAAACCCUGAUGCAGCCAUGCCGCGUGUGUGAAGAAGGCCUGCGGGUUGUAAAGCACUUUCAGCGAGGAGGAAAGGUUGUUGGCUAAUAUCCAGCAGCUGUGACGUUACUCGCAGAAGAAGCACCGGCUAACUCCGUGCCAGCAGCCGCAGUAAAAC